UUCAUUUUGACGCGUCUUACAAUCUCUUACACUAAUGUGUUCAACGUUCAAUCGUCUCUUAUCCUCUUGAUCAGUAAUUUUAAAGUGUUAAAGCAGCACUACUUAGCUAAUAACGAUAGCUAGUAUGGCCGGAGUAUACAAUUCAUUUCACAUAGCUGACUUAUGGAUAGCAGGCUCUACGAAAGAAGUCUGUAUUGUUCAUGAUCUCUGGUUGUUAGAUGAUGGGAUGGCAUGCCUUUGGCCACCGGCUUCCAUGAAGGUUACAUCACAUGUAAAGCUUCAAAAGCUGCUGCGUUUGAACACAAAGCCAUCAUCAAUUUGGAUUCAUUAUUUCUGUAAAGUUCGCAAGUCUUUUGAAACCUUAGAAAAUGCCGAACUAUUUUUCAACUCAAGAAAUGUGGAAUUGAGUGAACAAUCAGCUGCUGAAGAAACAGAAAAAAUUCCCUUGAAAAGAGCCAGAAGACCAACAGAAAGAUACUCACCAACUCUAAGCUCAAAUGAGUCAUCUAGUGCAUCGGAAUCUGAUGAAGAAGCAGAAGCUGCUUCAAAAUCAGCAGCUAGUAGCAUCAAUCGAAGUUAUUCUGCCAGACACUAUCUGCAGUUACCUAAUAUUCCAAUGCCCUCUGCUCCAUCUAUCAUUUCCGGGCUCUCCCCGUCUUUAGAGGCUCUUACUGGGGUUAUUAAUGGAUCAUUGGAAUCAACUAGUAGUAGAGCAACCAGAAAGAAUGUGGACAAAACACAGCCGCAACAAACCCAAUCUUCUCUCUUCGCUGGCAUGCCGUUGCAUGACAAGUCAUUGUGCCAUGUUGCUUAUCCUUCCGCGAAUCCUGUGCGUCAAAAAAGGUCUAAGCUUACAGCUAACGAGUGCCCUCCUCCAUUGAUGCGUCCCAGCCACAAUCCCGCUACUAAUAGAAAUCUCGCUGCUAAUAGAAAUCCUACUGCUAAUAGAAAUCCCUCUGUUACACAACCGGUAUUCGGUCCUACCGCUCCACUUACUGUCAGUGUUCCUUCCCCGGUUCAGGUUAGCUCCUUGCUCCAACGGCCAUCUUAAAAUCGAGGGAAUCAGUUUCAAUCAGUGCUGAUAAACAUGUUAACAAAGCAACAAACUCAAAUUGACGUAUUAAUUCUGAACCAACAAGCGUCAUCAGCUGAUGCAACAAUUGACCAAAUGCCAGAAUGGUUGCCGAUCAACGACUACAUGCAAUUCCAGAGACUCAACAGGACUUUAGCAUUUACUCCAGGUAAAGAGAACAAAGUUCGAGACAAACUGCUGGCUUACUUCAAUUUUAUUCAUGGGAAAACUGCUGCUAAUAUGAUGACUCGUUGCAUGGGUGCACUAUUCACUAAUUCUAUGGCUGGAGAUUUGAACUGGAACGGAUUAGCUCGGGAAGGUGUAGCAAAACGAAAAUUUGGCGAUUCAGAAAGCCAAAAACUAAUUCACCUUGCUGUCAACCGGCGAUUCCCACAAGCUUCAAAGUUUGAAAUGGAGAAGGACUCCAAGGAUUUUCUCCGACACGCCCCAGCGCGCGUCAAGCAAACUGCAGCCAGAGCUGAGAAAGAGGAAGCAGCUAUGGUUGCACAUGCUGCUGGUGUUGCAGCCGGUGCACGUCAUCCCUUGGAUCACAGUUACGAUAAUGUUGAAAGUAAUAACUACUAGAAGUAAUUAGUGGAAAUCAACAUUCGACUAUUUUAUGUGUGACGAAUUUAUUGUUCAAAAACUGAGAAACCUUACUUUAAUUUAUUGUAUUUAUGUCUCUGUUUUUGUACCGUUUAUCAGCAAUACACACAAUAGUCGAACUCGAAUAAAACUAAAUGUUUAUUUUUAUAUAUCCAUGUAGGAAAGAGGAGGGGAAAUUCUAGUUCGAUAAGUAAAUUUAAGGGCAACAAUUACCUCAUAAAACGAGUCCCGGGGUUAUUUUUAAGACGUCGUGGGGUUAUUUAUAAGACGUCUCUGGUAAAUAGAAAAAUUCGUCUGUAAGACAUCUCAGUGACUUGGUAUGGAACGGUAAUUAAGACGUCCACAAUACAUCCAGAUGUCAUCUAUUGGGAUCAACACAAAACCAAGGGUGGACAUCCACAGGC
rnacentral:misc_RNA from 1 species